AACGAACGCUGGCGGCAUGCCUAACACAUGCAAGUCGAACGAGACCUUCGGGUCUAGUGGCGCACGGGUGCGUAACGCGUGGGAACCUGCCCUUAGGUUCGGAAUAACUCCCCGAAAGGGGUGCUAAUACCGGAUAAUGUCUUCGGACCAAAGAUUUAUCGCCUUUGGAUGGGCCCGCGUUGGAUUAGCUAGUUGGUAGGGUAAAAGCCUACCAAGGCGACGAUCCAUAGCUGGUCUGAGAGGAUGAUCAGCCACACUGGGACUGAGACACGGCCCAGACUCCGACGGGAGGCAGCAGUGGGGAAUAUUGGACAAUGGGCGAAAGCCUGAUCCAGCAAUGCCGCGUGAGUGAUGAAGGCCUUAGGGUUGUAAAGCUCUUUUACCCGGGAUGAUAAUGACAGUACCGGGAGAAUAAGCUCCGGCUAACGCCG
rnacentral:rRNA from 1 species